CAACAGGGAUUCCCUUAGUAAGUGCGACUGAAUCGGGAAGAGCCCAGCGCAUAACUUUGUGUACCGGUGAAAACUUGCACACGAGGGGUGUUGCGUUGCGGAGGGUCCGGCACACCGUCGAGUACACCGUGUAAGUCCUAUUGGAAUGCUGCCACUACCCAAGGAAGGUGACAGGCCCGUAACGCGGAACCCAUGAGGGGUAUAACUCGACAGUGGAUGGUCCUUUCCGUAGAGUCGGGUUGCUUGGAAGUGCAGCCCAAAGAAGGUGGUAAACUCCAUCUAAGGCUAAAUAAGACCACGAGACCGAUAGCGAACAAGUACCGUGAGGGAAAGUUGAAAAGGACUUUGAAAAGAGAGUUAAAGAGUACGUGAAACCGUUAAGAGCCAAACGGAUGGAACCUUGAAGGUCGAAGGGAGGGAUUCAACUCGCCGGCAAUGAAUGGAUAGUUGCAGGAUAUGUCCGACCCUUGAAUGCUUGGGCGUACAUACCUGUAUUCUGUCGUCGGCAAGCGAUUUUUUCUCCUUGUAGGGCGCCGCGACCCGUCGCUGGGGACGUCGAAGGCCCGGACGGACUGGUACC
rnacentral:rRNA from 1 species